AUGUUUUGCAGGCCUGGAGUUCCUGGAAAAGAAACCCCUGAGACCAGGCAAGCGCGCAGUGGCCUCGGGAGCCCGGGGACCAGACCCUUGCAGGCCGGGAUGUACCCGCCCUCAGGGCAGCAAGAGAAUCCCGGCAAAGGGCAGGGAGGCCGGGGAGACCCAGGGCCCCUGGGGGGCCCGGUGUCACUUGUUUCCGCUCCCCAACAUCUGGGACCCCGAUGGCACCAUUCUGGGGAGCGGGGCACCUUCACACAAGGUGCCAGGAGUCAGUGUUGUGUGACAAGAGUCCAGAACUCGGGGACUUCAAGCAAGAAACACGUCCUCACCUGUAGCUUCCAGGCUCUCCCGAGGAUGGGUCCAGAUGUUGGCUGGACCAGAGCUGCCUUCCAAGCCCCUGCAGGACCCCAGUGCCCUCCCAGCCUGCUGGCCACUGCUACCCCAGCCCACACCCAGGGGGCAGGGAACCAGUCUCCAGCCCUUGAGGGGAACGUGGUCCAAGGACUUGUGCAUGUAUUUUUAAAACAACUGCAAUGGCCGGCGCCGCGGCUCAAUAGGCUAAUCCUCCACCUAGCGGCACCGGCACACCGGGUUCUAGUCCCGGUCGGGGCGCCGGAUUCUGUCCCGGUUGCCCCUCUUCCAGGCCAGCUCUCUGCUGUGGCCAGGGAGUGCAGUGGAGGAUGGCCCAAGUGCUUGGGCCCUGCACCCCAUGGGAGACCAGGAGAAGCACCUGGCUCCUGCCUUCGGAUCAGCGUGGUGCGCCGGCCGCGGCACGCCAGCCGUAGUGGCCAUUGGAGGGUGAACCAACGGCAAAAGGAAGACCUUUCUCUCUGUCUCUCUCUCUCUCACUAUCCACUCUGCCUGUCCAAAAAAAAAAAAAAAAAAAAAAAAGCAGUUAAUUUUAAAAAACCCUUUGCCUUCUCCUGGAUUUGGGGCAAAGGGAGAAGGGCGCCUUCUGCCUCUUUAGCCAAUCCCCUAACAGGUCACCAAGAGGGGUGGGAGGACCCAGUGCCCUGCGGUGAGUGGCCCAAGCACUUCAAAUGGUCAGCAGCCCCUUGCUGGGGAAGCCCUCACACACUCUGGCUGCCCGGCCUCAGCAGGAGUCAGCAUCCAGAUGCCGCCCACGGGGCCUUGGCGGAGGCUGGAACUGCAGCUUGA
rnacentral:lncRNA from 1 species